AUUGAACGCUGGCGGCAUGCCUUACACAUGCAAGUCGAACGGCAGCACGGGAGCAAUCCUGGUGGCGAGUGGCGAACGGGUGAGUAAUAUAUCGGAACGUGCCCAGUCGUGGGGGAUAACGUAGCGAAAGCUACGCUAAUACCGCAUACGAUCUAUGGAUGAAAGCGGGGGAUCGCAAGACCUCGCGCGAUUGGAGCGGCCGAUAUCAGAUUAGGUAGUUGGUGAGGUAAAGGCUCGCCAAGCCGACGAUCUGUAGCUGGUCUGAGAGGACGACCAGCCACACUGGGACUGAGACACGGCCCAGACUCCUACGGGAGGCAGCAGUGGGGAAUUUUUGGGACAAUGGGCGCAAGCCUGAUCCAGCAAUGCCGCGUGCAGGAUGAAGGCCUU
rnacentral:rRNA from 1 species